UGAGCCACCUGGACUGAGCGCCAUCUUCC
rnacentral:piRNA from 1 species